rnacentral:rRNA from 1 species
GACAGAGGUGCCAAGCGUUAGGCGGAAUCACUGGGCUUAAAGCGUGUGUAGGCGGAAUUGUAAGUACCUUGUGAAAUCCCUCGGCUUAACCGAGGAACUGCGUCCGAUACUGAAAGGCUUGAAUCCGGGAGAGGGAUGUGGAAUUCCAGGUGUAGCGGUGAAAUGCGUAGAUAUCUGGAGGAACACCGGUGGCGAAGGCGGCAUCCUGGACCGGUAUUGACGCUGAGGCGCGAAAGCUAGGGGAGCAAACGGG